AUUGAACGCUGGCGGCAUGCCUUACACAUGCAAGUCGAACGGCAGCACGGGGCAACCUGGUGGCGAGUGGCGAACGGGUGAGUAAUGCAUCGGAACGUACCCGGAAGUGGGGGAUAACUAUCCGAAAGGAUAGCUAAUACCGCAUAUUCUGUGAGCAGGAAAGCAGGGGAUCUUCGGACCUUGUGCUUCCGGAGCGGCCGAUGUCAGAUUAGCUAGUUGGUGGGGUAAAAGCCUACCAAGGCGACGAUCUGUAGCGGGUCUGAGAGGAUGAUCCGCCACACUGGAACUGAGACACGGUCCAGACUCCUACGGGAGGCAGCAGUGGGGAAUUUUGGACAAUGGGCGCAAGCCUGAUCCAGCCAUGCCGCGUGAGUGAAGAAGGCCUCGGUUG
rnacentral:rRNA from 1 species